rnacentral:rRNA from 1 species
GGAGUCUAGCAUGUGCGCGAGUCAUUGGGACUCUGCGAAACCUAAAGGCGAAAUGAAAGUGAAAGCUCGCCCAGUGCGAGCCGAGGGAGGAUGGGCCGUCUACAGUGGCGGCCCCGCACUCCCGGGGCGUUUCGUUCUCAUCGCGAGAUGAGGCGCACCCAGAGCGUACACGCUGGGACCCGAAAGAUGGUGAACUAUGCCUGGUCAGGACGAAGUCAGGGGAAACCCUGAUGGAGGUCCGUAGCGAUUCUGACGUGCAAAUCGAUCGUCGGAACUGGGUAUAGGGGCGAAAGACUAAUCGAACCAUCUAGUAGCUGGUUCCCUCCGAAGUUUCCCUCAGGAUAGCUGGCGCCCGAUGAGCGAGUCUCAUCCGGUAAAGCGAAUGAUUAGAGGCAUUGGGGUCGAAACGGCCUCAACCUAUUCUCAAACUUUAAAUGGGUGAGAUCUCCGGCUUGCUUGAACGGUGAAGCCGCGAGAUCGAAAGUUUUGGAUCAGGGCGCCAAGUGGGCCAUUUUUGGUAAGCAGAACUGGCGCUGUGGGAUGAACCAAACGCAGAGUUAAAGCGCCCAAAUAUACGCUUAUGGGAUACCAUGAAAGGCGUUGGUAACUUAAGACAGCAGGACGGUGGCCAUGGAA